UCCUUCCAAACUCCUGGGAGAAAAGACAAGAGGGAAAAUAUGCGAGCAUUAUAAAAGUAUGCCUAUCGCUGAUACUUUCUUAAACCACAGGUGUGCGGGAUCUCCUCCCGUUAGAUGUCAGAUGCAGACUGACUGACUGAUAGACAACCUACUUGGAACGCAAAUUUGCGGUGCUCUUGCCAAAUUGGCAAGGGCUGGUCCUGUUCUUGUCGAGGUGCUGUUUGCCUGUGCACAGAACGGGAGUGCAGCACCUGUCUGCAAUUCCUCCUGACGAUGGAUUAAAAAGAUGCUAGAAGCAGGUGGCCGGUUUUGAAGCCGCAGAACCAGCGGCGCUCGGACCGCGGAGCCGGCUGCCCCUCGGCGCGCGUGCGGACGGAGGGCGCCUGCGGCUGCGCGGGAACGCGCUGAAGCGCUGCGGGCAGCGCGCGGGAGCCGGGACGGAGCGGAGCUAAAGAAGUAAACAGCUCAUGGCACGUUUAACAAAAAGAUGACAGGCGGAUACAAAAGCUAUCCAGCAUCUUUGGGCAGCCAUUGAGAUUAUACAGAACCAGAAGCAAAUUGCCAACAUUGACCGUAUUACCAAAUUUCCAAUCAAGAUGUAAAGGGUGAAGAAUCAAAGAACAAAGAAUCAGUAACAAGUGAAAUUUAAGCCUUCAGUCAUGCAGAUUCCUAAUAUGAUUCAUAACUCAUUGUCAUGUUAUUUCUCUAAAUGCCAUGUAUAGUUUAAUGUCCAAUAAAAUCAAGUUACAUAUAUCA